UUUCGCACUAUCCCGUCAGUACGACGACGCUUACCAACGAAGGAUGCCAUUUAAUGUGACGAAAUAAGUGCUCCUCAAGUAGGCUAGGCCUACAUUAAUCAGCCUACGUUGACAGGAACAAUGGACUCCAAAUCCAACAAGAAGUCUAAGAAGAAAAAAAUUCAAAGUGGAGGGUUCCUUUUAUCAACUCGAACUGAAUCCAAUAAAGUCGCACAUGUGGAAACCAAGAGAAAGAGUGUUAUCCCCUUCAGCAAGACCUACAAGAAAAUCCUUCCUCCAGUCAAGCGUCAUGUGCCAAGGUAUUUGCCACCCAUUGAACACUCAAGAAACCUUUCCAAAAAAGGUGGCAAGAAUAUUCGUUUGGCAUCAGAUGGCCCUGCUACUGUGAAAAAGUUUGUAAAGCAGCCAUCAUAUGAUGAGGCCCACAGUGAAGUGGCCAGGGACUACUUAUCUCCACAGCUUAUUAGAAAGUUCCCAGCCGAGUCAUUCGCCUUUCUGGAGCAACUCUCUCAAAUGCAGAGAAUAAAUCUGAAGAAGAUUCUAAAGAUGAAGGACAUCACCAACCUGGAGCUCCUUCAAAUGUCCAAAAAGAUCAUUGAUUGGGUAAUUAUUGCAUCCAGAGAUGUGGUUCUCCCAGCUGUGGACUUGUACCAGGCCAUCACAAAUGACCUGUACAAAAGGUACACCCAGAAGGACCUCCAUCAUCAGUGGCUAGGCCUAGGGGAUGGCUGUAUGUCCAGUGCAGUGAAUCAUAUGGUAGUGGUCAAUGCCGCUAACAUAUUUAAUGCCCUAGUCUGCAUGACAAGGACCAACAGGAAGGAACCAGAAGACUCAGAUGAGAGCGGCCUCGCCUACUCUGGACAAUCUACACCGUGUGACCCACCACUUGCUAGCCACAGGAAAAGCAAUCUGCUCUUCUGUAGCCGAAUUCGUGUCAACGCUAGAGAGCUGAUCCGUCACAUUUACCAGAUGCUCCUCGAUUCUCGCUUGGGAAGCAUGUACUUAUCCCAAAGCUGGUGGACAAUGAUGCCUCCAGAUUUGGCUGCCAAAAGGAACCUUGAGUUUCUUUCUGACUUGCUUUUCAACUUCAUUGUAUACGCAGUGAAAAAUCUCCUCGAGUCAUUCUUAGGAUUGCCCCACAAGAUACCAUUCAAUAGCUCAAUGGAGCGGAGCCUUGAGAGCAGGCCAGCUGUCUCCAACACCAUGUCAGAGGAGGAGGAGGAGGCACUUGAGGCCCUGUCUGAAGUGUUGAUCAGUAGGGUGGCUGACAUGCUCUCUAGCACCUCUGAAACUCAGCAGAGUGCCAAUAACGCCAUUGGAAAAGUUCUGUAAAUGGGAAACAAACAUAGUGGCUCGGACUGAGCCAUAAACAAUCCUAGCCAAUCAACAGGGUGCUUCGGGAGCAUGGAAAGGAGGGCUGUAGUUUCAUUGGCUGCUGUGUUCAUAAUAUCAACAACAUCGCAGACUGCAUCUUUAA
ensembl:lncRNA